AACUGAUUUAGCGUGGGCUUGGAGGAGGGCAGACACAGAGGGCUUUUUGUGUGUCCCUCGGGUGAUGUUAGCUGACUCAGAUUCUGUGGCCCCCAAGCAUCCCAUUGUUUGCAGAACCUUCUGGAAUGAAUGAGAACGGUUGGCCUCCUCCAUCUCUGUGCUGAUGGAGCCGAGAACUGCCACGUCGUGGUGUGGGGCUGGGGUAGGGCGUGGAGUGGGGCGGUGGGGGGAGUUGGCGUGGAACGGACACGCAGAUUCCGUCCAGAGGUUGAGAGGUGGGGGUGGGAUGGGUGGUGGCGACGGUUGCACAGCAGUGUGAGGGCCCUGGAUGGGCUGAGCUGCCCGCUUCCAAGUGGCUAAUGAGGAAAUGCCACCUUCUGUCUGCAGGAGGCCCAGGGAGAAGAUUGUUGAAACUCAGCUUGCAACAGUUGUAACAUUCUCACCUGGGAAGAGGGCGGCUAAAAUGCCCACCCACGUAAGGUGCCAUUUUUCUUUUUCAAAUGGUGGGCAGUGAGAAACCGGACAGGAAGAAGUCAGAGCAGUCGCCGGUUGUGUCUGGGAGAGAGUGACAUCCCCUGUUGUGGGCUUCUCCAUGUUGUACAUUCUGCUGGCAUCGGCUCAGCAUAGAUGUGCAUGGUGAGUGGACCCAUUGCUACUGAACCGUGCCUUUCAAGGUGGUUACAAUGGCUACAACACUCAGGAGCCCCUGGGAAGAGAGGGUGGGUUUGCGGGGGAGGGAAGUUGCUCCUCCUCUGUGGUCUGGGGGAGGAAGGGGAGGGGGGAGCAGAGGAGAACCCAGUCCCACUGUCCAGAACUCCCGGCGCCCGGCGGCUCAGGCAUACAAAGCUGUGGCUACCCUGGUUUCCUGUUCUCUUACUCCCAAGUGUCUAUUCAUUUGUGACAAUGUGGUAGGCAGUGUUCCAGGCAGUGAACAUACAAGGGUAAACCCACCAGACGCUGACAUCUCUGCUCCCAGGGGGGAGUAGGGUAAAGAGUCUGGUGUGACCGGCUCUUGCCCUAGCAGAAUGCAGAGUGGGGCAAGUGACUUUGACCUGGAGAGAUCCAGAGAGGGCUUCCUGGAGGAAG
rnacentral:lncRNA from 1 species